rnacentral:rRNA from 1 species
AUGAGCAGCAGGAGCACACUACAGAUGUUGAUUGACAAAACUUGCUGGAAAGACAAGAAUCUGCCAAAGUCAAAGAAAAAUGAUGAAGCGGAGUCUCAGGGCAGCAUUGACAUGUUCAAGCUGUGCAACAUGAAGCCAGCUUUGCCAACCACCUUCCCUGUGCCAGAUUUCCACGAGCGAGAGUUGUGUGACAAGAUUGAUUUUGCUGUUGACCACAAUCUGUUCUUCUUGAGUGAGGCUGAAAAGAAUCCAGUUGACAUGGAGGAAGCAGGGAAGGGUCUUAAUUGGGUUCAUUCGAAGGAUAAAUACAAGGAAUAUUUGAAGCAUCUUCCAGAUAUCAGCUCCAGCAAGAGCAAGGCAACAUCUGUGGCAAACCCUCAUGUGGUCCAGAAGAGCAAAGGAGUUACAAUGAAGAAGAAUCUAAAGUUGCCUCAAACCAAGCAACAGAUGUCGAGGGUAGAUGUAGAAAUAAAUGUGGACAAGGAAGCUGUGGCGCAAACUGUUGUGCCAAUUGUAGUGAUCAGAGAGCCAACCACCACUGAAGAUGUGUCAGCAAUACCUGUUGAGCCUACAACCAUCACAGGAGUUCAACAGAUCAAGGGGAAGAUUCCUCUGUCAACAGCCCCACAUAAACCAGCUAAGCAACAAAAGAUUGUCAAGUUUGCCAAGUGCAUAAAGGAGGAACAGGGCAGGGAAGGUGUGGGGUCCAGACACGAGACAGAACAACGUGCCACAGCCAACGCUGCAGGACUGCCAAGUUCUGCUAGUUUGGUGCCAACUCAGGCUGCAAAGGUGCCAACUGCAGAUACCAGUAUGCCAACUGAAGUGGUCACAGUCAAAACUAGCAGAGUUGUUCAGGAAGACUCAACUGCAACCGCAAGCCCCAAGCAGCACAAACAGGGGAAGCAAUUGUGGUUGUCAUAG